AUUGAACGCUGGCGGCAGGCCUAACACAUGCAAGUCGAGCGAGCGGCGGACGGGUGAGUAAUGUCUGGGAAACUGCCUGAUGGAGGGGGAUAACUACUGGAAACGGUAGCUAAUACCGCAUACCAUCAGAUGUGCCCAGAUGGGAUUAGCUAGUGGGUGGGGUAACGGCUCACCUAGGCGACGAUCCCUAGCUGGUCUGAGCGGAUGACCAGCCACACUGGAACUGGAACACGGUCCAGACUCCUACGGGAGGCAGCAGUGGGGAAUAUUGCACAAGGGGCGCAGGCUUGACGCAGCCAGGCCGGGUGUGGGAAGAAGGCUUUCGGGUUGAAAAGCACUUUCAGCGGGGAGACGUUACCCGCAGAAGAGGCACCGGCUAAUUCCGUGCCAGCAGCCGCGGUAAUA
rnacentral:rRNA from 1 species